CAUAUUCUUUUGAUGUACAUCAAGUAUCAAACUAGUCUUUUCGUCUCAUCCACAAGGUGGUGCAUAAUUACCCUUGGUCUUGCUAUCACAUAUUCGAGGGGUACAGAGAGCGAAAGUAAGCGUGACCCCUGGAGUAUCGAGGAUGAAAGCGGCUUAAAACUAAAAUGUAGUGUUUUAUGAGUGUACAGCAACCUCAAUAUGGCACUGUUUAAGUAUACCUAAAUAUGGCAAUGUAUAUGUAUACAAUGAUCUUAAUAUAGUAUACAUUAGUAUACACAGCGGCCUAAAUGUAGCAUUUUUUGAGUGUACAGCGAACUAAAUAUGGCACUGCAUAAGUAUACAGCGAAGUAAAAUUAGCAUUGUAUAUAAGUAUACAUCAGCCUAAAUGUAGCACAUGGUGACCUGGCGAGUCAUAUAAUUAAUGAAUAGUUCUAACACUUAUUUCAAUGAGAGUAGACAUACAACUAUGGUUAACACUUCCAUACAGAACUGUAACAAAUAUAUGUGAUAUCCUAUUGAGGUAUUAAAUCCCAAUUUGUGCGACAGGCUUUAUGUCAAGUGGUCUUUGGAGAGGGAAGCAUGGUAAAACUUAUCUUGAGCAAACUACCAACCUAAAAUUACAGUAAACAACAACAAAAAGGUCUAUUAAUACAAAGUGCAAAUGCUGUUGAGCAUACCUAAACUGGAUUUCUGUAGCUGUAACUAUCAAGGUAUUAUAAUUAACCACCCCGAUAUUUGGUCUUACUAACACCUAGUUCUCACCUACCAUUAUCUAGAUACCUUCCAGAUGAUCUCAUCUACCAUUAUCUAGAUACCUUCCAGAUGAUCUCUAAGUCAGAAGUACUACUACUUAGGGUGUAUUCUGUCUUGACAUAAAUAAAAAGUUCCAGAUUUGCAGAAUAUUAUGUGACUGGAAAUUAUGAUGAUUUGGUUAUAAUAACAAAUAAUUUCCACUCUAAAGCCUCUAAAUAAACAUAUCAACUCAAAAUGUUAGUACAGGUAUAAAGCAUAACACAAGUACUAUUACAAUUUUUUUUUUCAAGUAGGGAACUAUUUGGGGUUUUCCCCAUCAUACAGUUAAAGCAAUGAAGUCAAAUUAUUAAUAUGACAGAAACUCCUCAAUGGUUUCGGGUCGACAUCUGCCUCCUGUCAAAAAUUAUAAGUAUAGAAAACACAACAUUGUUUCAGCUAAAAGGUUGCUCCACCAUUUGGUAGAACAAUUCGGUUCAAAUUCAUCAUGAAUGCGCAUGUACAGAAAUCGUCCUGAAAGAUACAAUUUUUUUUUAACAUAUACAUGUACAUGUACAGUAAGGAUUGAAAUGCAUGUUUUCAAUAUUUUUGAUCCAAUGAAAACAUAUUGCUUACGUAUUCUCCAAGAUGCAAUUUUGCACAUUAUGGAAUAUGUUUAUGAGCCACUGUGUUUCACACCCCCAUGAAUGUUAAGAAUUUCAGUUCUUAAAUAUCCAUUGUGACAAUUUUCAUAUUUUAAUUAUAUACAGAGUCAGCUGUACAAAUAAAUUUUCUUUAUAUGUUUUGACAUAGCAAAUUGUAAACUUAAUGCCAAAAUAUCAUUUUGCUCUAUAAAAAAAUACUUUUAGAUGUUCUACCUUGUAGGAGACUUUCUUCAAUAUCAGUACUGUUAACAGUACUGAGGGUGAAACAGCUCUCCUAUACUUUCUACAGGUAACACAUCUUUAGUUCUGUUAACAGUACUGGGGGGUGAAAACAGCUGUCCUAUACUUUCUCCAGGUAACACAUCUUCAGUACUGUUAACAGUACUGGGGGUGAAACAGCUGUCCUAUACUUUCUACAGGUAACACAUCUGAACGCCGACCACUGGCUCUAGUAUAAUAACAUGACUAUACUUAUAUAUAAAACAUGCAUGUUUGUUUCAGUCAACAACACAGGACAUGAAUGACAACACACUUCAUUAUCACUUAUGAAUGAUUAAUACUGAUCCAUAACCUUAGCCCUGAGAGAUAAAAUGUGUAAUAAAACUGAAAAAACCCCAACUGAAAUAAAAUCAGUCAGAUUUAAAAAA